CUCCUUUAGAUAUCAAUGCAUUAGCUUCCGUCUCCAAUUCCUUCUGCUUGUUAGAUAUUUCACUUGGUGGAAUAACGCCUUUAUAUUCAACGAAUGGUCUGGAAAAAAGUCUAUCUAAAAACCAGCUCCAGCAUCCAGCAGAAACAAGAAGCUUUCCUUCUCAGAAAGCUACUUCUGGAACAGCCAAACUAGAAGUCUUAAGGAGUAAAAUGAGAUAUAGGCUCAUGUACACCUAAAUUUUACCUAUCUAGCAGGAUCUUGCAUUUCAAUAAAGGGAAUGGCCUG